rnacentral:lncRNA from 1 species
AAAACACUCUUUAUAUAAUAUCAUCCAGUUAACGUGCAUGAGUUGUUAAGUUGUGCAUGGGGCGGGAAAUAGUACUUGAGACAGUGGAAUCAGUAGAUUUUAUAUUCCCUUCAGUCCUUGAGACAAUUACGGCUGCACUUCUAAAUAAUAUAAAUAAAAAAAUCAAAAACCUAACAGCAAACACUGACUCUGGCGAAUAGAAUAUCGUCGCCCUAAACCUGCGUUUCCCGCGCUUGCUGCAUUAAUGGCUCUUUAAUGGCUUGCAUUUAAUGCUCUUUCAUAAAACGGCGUUGUUGCGUAUAACGCAUGGGCCUCAGAUAAUUACAGGAUUGUAAGGGAAUUUCGCCUCGGGAAGGUAAGCAACUUUCGAUGUUUGGGAAUGGAAAUAAAAUAGUGUAACAGCUGUAAACAAAUCACCAAUUUCUACAAUGAAUUGCACUAUUAUGUCUAUUACAUUGCACCGUUAUAAUACAAGAUGAAUUUUUUUACACCACUUGUACAAUAAAAUGCACCAUUAUGUACAUUACAUUGCACUGUUAUACGGAGGGAGUCAAUAAAAAGAAUUUGACUAUACAAAUUAAAGAAUAGUUUAUCGAAUAAGGCUCGAAUUAUUGCGAGUAAAAAUGCCGCCGCCGCCGUCGCCUCCUCCUUUUCCUCGGCGGCCGCCUCCUUCACCACAUGCUCCGCCGCCAUCGCAUUAUUUUAUUAAUCCAAGUCUUGUACAGUUACAAUAUUAUGGAGAUGCAAUACAAGGAGCUAGGGCGGCUCCGUCGGCGCUCCGGGACGGCGGGGCGGCGGGUGGCGGCGAGCGGGAUGUCGCCAGAAGGCGGCGUGGCCGAUAGGGGGCGGUGGCCGCACGCGAAACCCGAGAUCGAGCCUGCUCGGUCUGGGCUGACCAGAGCUGGCCGCAGCUUGCUCAGCUGGCUCCAGCGGUGCUUGCUGAUGGCGAAAACGUCCGGCGAUGGUACCGGACGUUGGUCUCAGCCAGGGGAUGGUGGCGCUCCGACUUAGAUGACUCCUUGAGACCCCAACCACAACGUGGUGGAGUGGUUGGCCGAGAGGGAGGGAGAGGGUAGUGCAGAAGGGUUUUCCGGUGGCCAGAGGGGCUUGCCGGCGAUCAGGGCGCGGGCACGGUUGGGCAGGGAUGCAGGUGGGGCGGCUAGGGCUCAGUUCGGCUAAAGAGAAGGCCAAAAGCUAGGGUUUCCUCAUGAAACCCUAGUGCAACUACUAUAUACAUAUGUACAUUUUGCAAGAUAGUCCUCCCAGGGAUAAUAUUCUCAGUCAAGUCCCUCACAGCGCGCGUAUUUUACACAUACGCACGUCCAUGUCCGAUCUCAUGCGAUUCGGCACAUAAAAUAUAGGGUCUCUUCGCGAUUUAUCCGUUUUGCCAAUUUGACCCCUCAGCGGACUUUUCGCGUUUCCUGUAGAUCCGUCCGUUAGAUUUGCGAACGGAUCGCACUAGUACGAUCAGCACAAUGGAGACAAUAAACCUACGGUUUUGAUUCACACCGAUCGGUCACGGAUUUGCGACGAAACCCAUCCGCUCUCCAAUUUCCAAAAAACCACACACAUAUACCAAUGUGUAAUCCCACUAAAUCCUAAAUUCAAAUUCAAAUUUGAAUCUCCUACUACUAGUAGGUACAUGUAACAUCACUCACCUUACUCUAGGUCACAUACACAGAGCACGAGGAGUCUCAUUAUGCAAGAACAGCAAAGAGUGAAAACCCUCUUUUCGAUAAAAUUCCUUUUUCUUGAAAACCGUGCAUCAGAUCUGAAAUCCGUCAGUGCCAUUGGUUCCAGAAUAGCUGAACCGGUCGAAAUGAGCUAUUGGAUCGCUAUGAACGGAGUCCAAUACGCGCUGAAAGCCAACUCUACUCUGUAGCUUCUCCGGAAAACCGGAGUUACUAUUCACUUAAGUAAAAUCUAAAAAUCGCGUAUCUUCUCCAUUUUAGCUCAUUUUCUCCUGAAACUUGACGAGUGCUUAUGUAAUUAAAUUACACACAGGAACAUCGUUAACAGAGAGUCUAAUUGCACUGCCAAAAUCUCAGUCCGUACAAAGAACCCUUAAGUGUAAAGUUCAUACGGUGCAAAAGGUCGAAGUAAUGAUGCAAAAUAUUACGCGAACCAGUGCAGCAUAAAAAUAAUAUAUAAUAAAAAACUUAUGUAAUAGUGCAACCGUAUAAUAUAUAUUGCUUACAGUUGAAAGAGGUAAAAUAUAAUUGUGCAAAAGUGCAUUGAGAGUAGUGCAACCGCUUAAAAUAAAGAGGUUACAAGUGCAAUAAGGCUCGGUAAUGGUGCAAAAGAAAUAAUAGCGUAACUUACGAGCCAACUAUUUCAAAAUUUGUCUACUGAGGAGUAGAUGCAUUCCCGGAAUGCCUGUUAAUCAACAGAUCCAGCUGUUCGUCUGUAAGCACUUCGUCUAUAUCAUCGGGAUCACAAGUAGCAAACUUUCUCUCGACAAGUUACUCACAGCAUAAAGCUCCAUCAGAUACGCGUGGGUUUUAUAGAAUCUCCGUAUGUUUCCCACAUCGUCGUCGUCAACAAUGUCGAUGAGUUUGCUUAGAUUCCCACUAUAGCAAAAUUUAAUUUCGAAUUGCAGGAUUCCUGUGAAGUAUUCAUGUAUUUGCAGAACAUUGCUUGCAGGGAUUUAAAAUUAUUCCCUUGCCUGAUGAAAUUGAGCCGGCUGGAUCCUCCUACAUAAUUGACAAAGCUCAUUCCUCCUUAAAACACCCAUUAAAAUUGAAAUGCACUGGAAUUUCAGUGUUAUCCAUGACUUGUAAGAGUUGGAUACAGAAAAUUAGCUAAAAGUUAUCCAAAAACACUCUUUAUAUAAUAUCAUCCAGUUAACGUGCAUGAGUUGUUAAGUUGUGCAUGGGGCGGGAAAUAGUACUUGAGACAGUGGAAUCAGUAGAUUUUAUAUUCCCUUCAGUCCUUGAGACAAUUACGGCUGCACUUCUAAAUAAUAUAAAUAAAAAAAUCAAAAACCUAACAGCAAACACUGACUCUGGCGAAUAGAAUAUCGUCGCCCUAAACCUGCGUUUCCCGCGCUUGCUGCAUUAA